GAUGCUCAUUUUAGUGAGGUAAAAAGAGCCAGCCUCAUUCAACAUGAGUUAUGGCUGGAAACAAAGAAUUAAGAUGAAAAUGGCCAACUACCAUACCCAACUGCGAUCACAUGGCUCACAUGCUGAGCUUCAGGUGAACUCUCUUAAACGAAAGAGACAACAGGAUGCAGCAGCUCACCCGGCCAAAAAAAUAAAUAAAAAAAAAUAAAAGAGCAAUGCCAAUUGGUGAGACUCCUGAAACUACGGAAUAGAAAGAACUUCCAUUUUGGAAGAGCUUAAGAAAAGAAAUUGUGGAAGGACAAAGGACAAGAUGGAAAAUACCUUUGGGUACCAUAGACAGGAAAUUGUGGACAAGCAACCCAGUGUGGAAGAAGUCUUGACCAGAUGGCCAGCACUUUUCUCAGUGGAAGAGAUCAAUUGGGAGUUACAACGAAUCACAACAGUUUGCAAGUAAAGUUCAUGGCUUAGUUGGACAAACACACCAGCCUGCUACUUGAGAUCAUUAAGAAAAAAGGAGGAGUUGUUAAUCAGAAGACUAAAGAUACACUGCAGCUUUUAAAUCAGGAAGUUGAUAUCCACAUUAAAAGAGAAUGUGUUCUCAAAUGCCUCACGAUUUACCUGGGAGAUCAACCAGACUUGAAACUUGAUCAAGGAAUAUGUGGUAAGGACACACUUUAGUUUCUUUUGUAUUUGAAUUCUGACUGGUGUUAUGCCAUUAAAGUAGCCACAAAAUAUUUGGGGACACAUUUUCAAUAUUAAGGUGUGUACACACUACAGGUGUACAGAGAUGUCAUUAUCUGUUCAAACAACAAAAUUAUCUGUCUCUGUAUUCAGAGAGUGGAAUUGGGUGUGGUAUUUACUCAUGUUAAAAAUAACUUUAUAUUAAUUGGCAAUGCAAUUGUUGUGCCUUCAAAGUAUCAAAUUUAUUUAAUAUUGGCAUAUAACUUGUGAAAUACAGUGGCGAACCGUGACCCUCGA